GGGCCGUUAGCUCAGUUGGUAGAGCAGUUGACUUUUAAUCAAUUGGUCGUUGGUUCGAGCCCAACACGGCCCACCA
rnacentral:tRNA from 1 species